CUGGAUUGUUACUGGAUGAAGAGCGGGUGCAGGAGGAGGAAGAAAAACUGGUGGACAAAAAGGAGUUGCAGCGACGAAGCAGGGCUUUGGCACUUUCAACGUCAAGAGCUUCGGCGCUAAAGGCGAUGGACGAAACGACGAUAGCAAAGCCUUCACGGCGGCAUGGAAAGCAGCAUGUGGAUCUUUAGGUUCUGUGAAGCUUUUCAUACCAAAAGGGACUUUCUUACUCGGUCCCAUAAAAUUCGUUGGUCCCUGCAAGACCAUUGAUUCCAUUACCGUUCAGAUGCAGGGUUUCUUGAAGGCAACCACAGAUCUGAACAGGUAUGGUUCUU